rnacentral:rRNA from 1 species
UGGGGAAUUUUGGACAAUGGGCGAAAGCCUGAUCCAGCAAUGCCGCGUGUGUGAAGAAGGCCUUCGGGUUGUAAAGCACUUUUGUCCGGAAAGAAAUCCUCUGGGUUAAUACCUCGGGGGAUGACGGUCCGGAAGAAUAAGCACCGGCUAACUACGUGCCAGCAGCCGCGGUAAUACGUAGGGUGCAAGCGUUAAUCGGAAUUACUGGGCGUAAAGCGUGCGCAGGCGGUUUUGUAAGACGGAUGUGAAAUCCCCGGGCUUAACCUGGGGAACUGCAUUCGUGACUGCAAGGCUAGAGUAUGGCAGAGGGGGGUUAGAAUUCCACGUGUGAGCAGUGAAAUGCGUAGAGAUGUGGAGGAAUACCGAUGGCGAAGGCAGCCCCCUGGGCCAAUACUGACGCUCAUGCACGAAAGCCGU